rnacentral:rRNA from 1 species
CCUACGGGUGGCUGCAGUCGAGGAUCUUCGUCAAUGGGCGCAAGCCUGAACGAGCGACGCCGCGUGCGGGAUGAAGGCCUUCGGGUUGUAAACCGCUGUCGAGGGGGAUAAAAGCCGCAAGGCUUGAUUGAUCCCUGGAGGAAGCUCGGGCUAAGUUCGUGCCAGCAGCCGCGGUAAGACGAACCGAGCGAACGUUGUUCGGAAUCACUGGGCUUAAAGGGCGCGUAGGCGGCCCUUCAAGUCGGGGGUGAAAUCCCACAGCUUAACUGUGGAAGUGCCUUCGAUACUGAGGGGCUCGAGCGAGGUAGGGGCAGAGGGAACUUCUGGUGGAGCGGUGAAAUGCGUUGAUAUCAGAAGGAACGCCGGUGGCGAAAGCGCUCUGCUGGACCUCUCCUGACGCUGAGGCGCGAAAGCUAGGGGAGCAAACGGGAUUAGAUACC